rnacentral:lncRNA from 1 species
AGCAAUUCAAAGGAAACCCCGUUCACACCGCUGUGCCAAUCGUUCUCGGUUUGGACCCCCAGCAACAAUUAGCAUGUCUCAAUUGAACAGUUUGAUCUCUCACUCAUUCUUCUCUUUCUUUAUCAUUGAUUGCCUUUUCUUCUUCAUCCUUAAACACUCUUUAGAAUUCUGGGAAAGGUUGUGUCAUAGAGUAUAAGUAAGCUUCUCAUAAUGAUGAGAAAUGAUUAUAGUGUAUUUUUUUAUAGCUUUAGAAUAUCUCCACUUCAAUUGCUUCUUAUGCUAGAAUUAGGCUUGCAUAUUAUCGCCCCUUUUCAAUUUUUGUAGCUGUUGCUGGGGGUCCAAACCGAGAACGAUUGGCACAGCGGUGUGAACGGGGUUCCCUU